AACAUUUGGAGAGAGAAAGAGAGAAAGAAAAGAGGAAGAAGGAAAAAAUGGACGAGCAGGU
rnacentral:ribozyme from 1 species